AUACUUGGGACGAUUGGAAUCGUUUGGCUCCAACCAGUGCUCCAAACAGUGAUACCGUACGCGUGCGUACACGAGACACGAUAAAUCCAAUUAGGACGAGCACGAGCAGCAACGAUUAUCGGAACUGUUUAAUCUAAUGCAAAUACCGGACGAUUGCAUCUGUCAAUAAAGGUUCGAGGCCGUCUUGAGUAGCGGCAGCUUCGAGUAUACUGACAGAAGUACUCGAGCGACGACACGGCAACAAGUGGUGCUCGACGCACCGCUAGGUCAACACAUCUCGUCCACCUCUCGUACUCUCGUUCUCGUACGUCUCGUACGAGGCUUCUUUUCACCGGGCAACUUCUGUGACAUUAUACUUGGAGCACCACUUCAAUCUAUCCGUCAAACAUAGGGCCGAGGAGUACACAACGGAAAAGGCAAAUGUUGUCCGAGUUCUGUGAAGACGCUUUACCUCGAAUCAGCGAUCCGUAUCACGUUUCGAGAGAUUAAACAACACGAUUGUUGGAUCGAUGAAAAAAAAGGAGAAGCAUGGUGGUCAGUAGAGAACGGAGAGGAGAAAGGAGCCACGCUCGUUAUUUCGAGCGCCUGGGCUGCUGGAUAAUUGAUAGCGGAAUGCUAAUAACUUGGACGAGCCAUGGAUUAUAAUAAGUUUCUUGCGUAUACCGCUUCUUGCCUUCGUUCGCUGUUGUUAUAAACGUGUCACAGACGAUCAGUUUUGUCAACUUAUCACGCCGAUCUUAAUUAAUUGGUUCAGCAAAUCUAGGUGAAUGAAAAUAAAUGAAAGGAUAGUUUUUCGUGACAUAGUUGAUAUGCAAUAAGGUUCAAAACUUGAAUUAUACGAUUUAAAGUUUAUUUAAUUUAGAAAACAACUAUUGUAAUACUUGUCACUGACUCGUUUUAGAAUAAAGUUGUUUUGGAAAGAA